CAAAGAUCAAGUGGGGUGGGGGGAAUUUCUUAACUGUCACUGUUUUCCCAGAGCACAUGGGUCAGGUAAAGUUAAACAUUAUCAAAAUGAAUGAAAGCAAAUGUGCAAUAUAGGCAGAUAGAUAGAUGGAUAGAUAGAUAGAUAGAUGAUAGAUGGAUAGAUAGAUAGAUAGAUAGAGCAGUGGGACUUCCUCUCCUCUUUUAUUUUUAAUCAGCUUUUUAUCCCUAACAAACAGUAGAUGAGCAGUACUGGGAAUAAUUGUUUAAAAAGAAAAGAUAAGCCUGUGUAUAAAGAACUACCAUAUGACCCAGCAAUAACACUCUUGAGCAUAUAUCUGGACAAAUGCAUCCACAUGUUCAUUGCAGCAUUAUUCAUAAUAGCCAGGACAUGGAAACAACCCAAAUGUCCAUCAAGAGGUGAUUGGAUUAGGAAGAUGUGGUAUAUAUACACAUAGACUAGAAUACUACUCAGCCAUAAAAAAAUAAUAAUAAUGCCAUUUGCAGCAACAUGGAUGGAACUAGAGACUCUCAUAUUGAGUGAAGUGAGUCAGAAAGAGAAAGACAAAUAGCAUAUGAUAUCACUUAUAUUUGGAAUCUCUUCUAUGGCACAAAUGAACCUUUCCACAGAAGAGAAAAUCAUGGUCUUGGAGAAUAGACUUGUCGUUGCCUGGGGGGAGGGGGAGGGAGUGGGAUGGAUUGAGAGCUUGGAGUUAAUAGAUGCAGACUAUUGCCUUUGGAAUGGAUUAGCAAUGAGAUCCUACUGUGUAGCACUGGGAAGUAUGUCUAGUCACUUAUGAUGGAGCAUGAUAAUGUGAGAAAAAAGAAUAUACACAUGUGUGUUUAACUGGGUCACCAUGCUAUACAGUAGAAAAAAAAUGUAUUGGGGAAAUAACAAUUGAUUACAAUUUUUUAAAAAAUCCUUAGCUUAUUGUUUUGGUUAGGGCACUGUGUUUUAUUUGAUUCUAACACCUUGUUACUCAAGUUAGUCUUUGGUACAAAGUAGGUGCUCAGUAAAUGGUUAUUAGUUGACUGAAUUGCCUUCUAGUUGUGGUUAGCAUUCUCUUUUCACUAGGGGAUAUGGGUGUACCUUCCGACAUGGGGCUUGUCAAAACGUGGCAAAGUUUGAACCAGCCAUCCUGGUUUAUCUGUCUCCAGUAUUUUUAAGAAGCCACCCUUGUCAUUAGUGCAGGAGGACUUUUCCUAAGACACAGAGGAUGCAGGUGACACUUGCCCAAAUACAGCACAGGUAGACGCCCAGACGGUACUAGUUCUUGGUCGAAAGAAGACAGGUUCUUUUAUGCUUGCCUGAUGGAGCUUGACACUUCACUCACAGAGGACAGAGCUUUUCACGUCACAGAUCAUUUUGGCCUUGGCAGCCAGGGUCCUCCUCCUCCUGGUCACAGUUCACUGGAGCUGAAAAAAGCUGAGGCCUAAGAUGCACCUGGAAUCAGGGCAUGUGAAGCCAACUCUGGCCAUGGCUGUAAUGUGCCUCGGCUUGUGCCAGGAGCCAUGAUGUAUGUGAGGCUAAUUAGAACAAGUUUGAAAAGGCGAGCUUCCCUAGGGACAGCACUCUGAGGUGAUUUUCUCCUGUGACAGGGAGCGUGUAUUUGCAGGGAAAAUCAAAAUUUUCAUGGAAAGAGAAGCUUAGAGAUAAAGCUUCAUUCCGCAUUGCACGUGGCCCGGUCCUCCUUAGGCGAGACUUUUGGAAGAUGCUGAGACCAGACUGUACAUCUUCACCAACUGGUCACCCUGAGCUGAGCACCAUCUGGAAAAGUUCAGUAUCUUGCUUUGCUGCUUGACCUGAUAGUCUCUAACUUCCCCAGGGUAACCUAGAGAGGUGUUGUUUCUCCCCCUCAUAUGCACUAUGAGCAGUUAAUCAACUGGUACCGGUAUGCUCUCUUAAGGUCACUUGUUCCAGGAGUCUCUCUUUCUUCUUGGUGCAGGGCUUUUCCCUUUGGCUAUUCCAGGAUGUCUUCUGACACCAACCACCAGCUCUCCCAUUCUCCAGACUCCAGAUGGGCAUUCAGUAAUUCAAUUCAAUUUGACACUAACUACCCAGAGUCAGCGCAGACUCCACAGGUUAAGGAUUCAUCCCACAAGACUGCUCCCACUUGGGAUGUCAGUCACAGUCCUAGGCCUCCUGUACUUCUUUGCAAAUGGCUAUAAAUCAGGGGUUCCCUCAAGCCCUUCCUAAGGGUCAACAAUUCGCUAGGACAACUGAUAGAACCCAGGAAAUCCCUUUACUUAAUAUUACCAGUUUAUGGUAAAGGAUAUGACUGAGGAGCAGCCAAAUGGAAGAGAUCAAUAGGGAAAGGGAUUGGGGGGAGGGGUGCACAGAUUUCCAUGCCCUCUCCAGGUGCUCCACCCUUCCAACACCUCCUGUGUUCACCUAUCCAGAAGCUUUCUAAACCCCAUCAUUAGGGGGGUUUUAUGGAGGUUUCAUUAUGUAUUUAUGACUAAUUAAGUUAUUGGUCAUUGGUGAUUAACUCAAGUCCCAAUCUUCUAAUCAAGGGUUGGUAUCUCUGGCCAAGUCUGCAUCCUAACACUAUCUAAGGGUCCACCAAGCGUCACUUCAUUAGAACAAAAUUAGGUCCUACUACCCUUAUCUCAGGAAAUUCCAAAGGUUCUAGGAGCUCUGUGCCUGUAAACAAGAAAAAAGACCAAAUAUCUUUCUAUGAUACCACAGUUGUGUCUUUGUGGAAAUUUUUAAGAUGUUAAUACAUCCAGCAAUAUGCCCUUCACACUAGUAGGACAUAGCAGUUCUCUAAAUAAAGUGGUUCCUGCUCUUUGUCCCAACCAGUUGAUAAACUUAACUAGCCAUGGAAUUUUGAGUUUGUGCAGUAAGAGGAAAGCACAAAAGAUGGAAAAGACUGUAUCACUUCCACUGGGAAGCUUAUGGCAAUGGUGAUAUUAAUUACUAUGUCAAUUAAAGAGUAAUCUGAGACAAUGUCUUAUCAAGUGCUGACGUAGAUAAUUUGGGGGUUUCCUUCCCAGCCCCACUGCAUCCCAUCCCAUUGUCAAAGGAACUAAGGUAUACCUUUGGUUAGGUCCCAACCAAUUGGACCAGAAUAGUGUCCAAAGAACACCAAGAUGGACUAAAAAGAACUCCAGGGUGGGGCUGGACCAAGAUGGACUAAUUAUCGUCCCUCCCAUGACACUGGAAUUUCUGUGUAUGUCUUUAAACACUUGAACCAGAAGGGCUUGCCUUCAUCCCUUCAGUCAAGGUCUUCUGCCUGUCUCUGAUGCCUUUCCUCUUUUUACCUGGAUAAAUCUUAGCAUUUUUCAGGAGCCAGCUGAGAGUAUCUUCCUCUAGGACCCCAUCUCUGUGACACUAGGUCUGUGUCCCAGUACUUCCUUGUGUUUACUUCCAUUUAACAUUUAUAGAUAAUUAUCCCAGUCACACUGUGAGCUUUUCAAGGGCAGGGACAUCCUAGAUAUUCAUGCAUAAUCUUGUUUCAGUGCCUAUUAUUUGUCCUGGCUCUCAAUGAGUCUUCAACAUUUAUUCAUUUAACUGAACCAAGAAAUGAAGUAGUCUUUUUUAAGAUAAACCAGACUAUAUCAUUCUUUUGCUAAAAAUUUGCUAAUGACUUCUUUUUUACUUAUAGUAAAAUCCAGACUUCUUACUGAGGUCCGCAAAAUCCUAGGUUUUCCAUUUCACUCUGUGCAUAAAAUAAGCCUUAAAAGAAUCACCCCAAUCCACAGGUAAAUCAAAACUUAACACUUCUAUCAAGGAAAAUGAUGAAAUACAGAUAAUCACACUAUGCCAUCCAGCAUACCAUCAAAACUUUCUAAUUAUAUGAAAAAGCAUGAAAAUAUUACCCAUAUCCAAGAGAGAAAUCAUUCAGUAGAAACGGACACAGAAAUGAAAGGGAUGCCAGGAGUAGCAGAAAGGGCUUGGAAACAGCCAUUAUGGGAGCUAAAAUAACACACUAAAUAAAUUUCCCUUAAUCUUAAAGAAUUCAGGAAAGGAGGGAGAGAGGAACAAAGAAUAGAUGGCCCAAAUAGAAAACAAAUGGCAAGAUGGUAGACCCAAACCCAGUUUAAAGUAAGUAGAUUAAAUCCUCCAAUUAAAGGGUAGAGGUUGUUUAGCUGGGAAAAAGUAAAAUUGAAAAUAAUCAUGUGGAAUAUGGCAAAUGUCCAGUUCAACCAACUAGAUUUGGAAACAUAAGUAAUAAGAUAUAAGAGUGGGAAGUUUGAUGAAACCAAGUUACGUUGGGUCAUAGAUGUCCAAACCUAUACUUUCUACAGGCACUCGUGCCUUGUGUGUGCGAAUAAAUAGCCCACUUUGUGAAAUGGAAUGACCUUCUGAAAGAACAGGUAUAAAGCUGACUUACUUUCCAGAAUAUUUUAUUUCAUAAGAAAAGUAAAUCUUAGCAUUCCCACUGUGGCAGAGUGGGACUGGAGGCAUCUCUGCAGCUCCAGGACACAGGUUCAAUCCCUGCCCAGCACAGUGGGUUAAAGGAUCUGGCAUUGCCACAGCUGCAGCAUAGGUUGCCACCACAGCUUGGAUCUGAUCCCUGGCCCAGGAACUCCAUGUGCCACAGGGCUGCCAAAAAGGAACAAGAGAGAGGAAGGGAGGGAGGUGGAGAAAGAAGGAAGAAAAGUAAAUCUUUCUCUUAUCUCCUGUUUUUUUCUUUCCUCAUAAGGAAACAGGGUGGCUGUGGUCAUGCAUUUCAGCUGCCCAAGCUCCCAGCGCAUAAAUAAGCCAGGUGACAAAAUGUUAACCUCUGUACUACAUGCUACAAUCUUUCUUUUAAAAGUGAAAAUAUAUUUGGAAACUGAAGAAAGUACUAAGUCUAAUCUUGCCUUGUCAUUAAAUCAAUAAAGAAAUUAAAGACAACAUUACUCAAACUGUGGUUCUUAGAUGACAUCACCUUUAUUUUUAUUAUUGUCAUUAUUAUUAUUGUUAUUUCAUUUUUCAGUGCCCACCACGUAUGAAGGUUCCUGGAGUUAAAGGCAUAGCAAGAUAUAGAAAAGAUAUUGCUUUUGCCUCAGCUUCAUGAAGCUGAUAUCAAUCUUUUAUUUCAUAAACUUCAGGCUGGUUAUUGCUUUAAACGCAGGCUUUGGUGCAUUAAAUGUGGCACUGACAGGAAUACAAAUAAGACAGUUCCCAAUGAUACUAAGCAGGGGGCUGGGGAAGGACUGACUUCCCUCCCACGCCUGGAGAAGGGAAUUCAGGAAAGGUCACAGAGCAGCUGGACUUUAGAGAUAAAUCUGAGCUGAACUGACUCAAUGAAUGACUCAGAGGGACAGUUUUUGCUGCUGUGUUUUUCCAGCAAGAGGAGAAAGGACAGAUGAUUUGAUUGAGCCUCCGAAGGAGGUCUGGCUGUGCUGAGGCUGAAAGAGUCCAGAUCUCAGAGGCAGAAGGUCUGGAGUUAACCCUUAAUUCAGCCCCUCAGUAGCUCAGCCCUCUGGGCCUCAGUUCGAUCUGUGACCACAGUAAAUCUCUAAAAGCCCUUUCUGGCUUGAAAUUUUUAAGGAAGUAGUACCUACUAUACAGAGCAAUCAUUUGUAUUUGGAAAAUACUUCCUGGAAUACCAGUUGCUUUGAUACUAAUCACAGCCUUAAGAAUAACGAAGGGUAGAGCUGAGUGAACUGAGGCAUCACCAGCUGAAAGAUGCAGUUAGCUAACCAAUGGAUAGACUGGUCCUUGGCUGCAGGUCUCUGGCUUCUAACCCUGUGUCCCUUAUCCCAUUCCACAAAGAGCAGAGAAGACUUAUUUAGAGGGAAUAUACAGGCAAAAUGGGGAAGUGGUGCUUUGAGUUCUUCAGGAAGGAUUUGGGAAUAUUCUUUUUUUCUUUUUUUUUUUCUUUUUGCCUUUUCUAGAGCUGCUCCCAUGGCAUAUGGAGGUUCCCAGGCUAGGGGUCUAAUUGGAGCUGUAGCCACCGGCCUAUGCCAGAGCCACAGCAACGCAGGAUCCGAGCCACAUCUGCGACCUACACCACAGUUCACGGCAACGCCAGAUCCUUAACCCACUGAGCAUGGCCAGGGAUCGAAUCCGCAACCUCAUGAUACCUAGUCAGAUUCGUUAACCACUGGACCACGAUGGGAACUCCCAGGAAUAUUCUUGUGGUGCAGUGGGUUAAGGAUCCAGUGUUGUCACUGCAACGGCUCUGGCCACUCCUGUAACUCAUGUUCCAUCCCUGGCCCAUGAACUUCCACAUGCUGGGAAAAAAAAAGAAAAAAAAAAAAAAAAAAG
rnacentral:lncRNA from 1 species